rnacentral:misc_RNA from 1 species
CGCACCUUGCGCUCCUGGGUAUUCCCAGGAGCAUGCCUGUUUGAGUGUCAUGAAUCCCUCAAAUCCCAAUGUUUUGCAAAACUCAUUGCUUGGAUUUGGUUAUGGGCCGACUUUGCUACUUCAUUGUUAGCUGGCCUUAAAGACAUUAGCUUGGACUUUCGAACCUUUUCAGAAGGGUCUCCAUAUGAUGUGAUAAAUUUACGUCGAUGGGCUUAAAGACUUUACUGUUGUUAAUGGUUUUGAAAAUGAAUAGUCUAGCUUUCUAACCCGGCGAAGAGUUCCAUCUCUGACCCACUUUUCAUUAACUCUGGCCUCAAAUCAGGUAGGACUACCCGCUGAACUUAA